rnacentral:rRNA from 1 species
GACGAACGCUGGCGGCGUGCUUAACACAUGCAAGUCGAACGGAAAGGCCCUGCCUUUGUGGGGUGCUCGGGUGGCGAACGGGUGAGUAACACGUGAGUAACCUGCCCUUGACUUUGGGAUAACUUCAGGAAACUGGGGCUAAUACCGGAUAGGAGCUCCUGCUGCAUGGUGGGGGUUGGAUAGUUUCGGCGGUUGGUGAUGGACUCGCGGCUUAUCAGCUUGUUGGGUGGGUAGUGGCUUACCAAGGCAUUGACCGGUAGCCGGGCUGAGAGGGUCACCGGCCAAACUGGGACUGAAAUAAGGCACGGACUCCUACGGGAGGGAGCGGUGCGGUAGAGAGUACAAGGGGAGGAGGGAUGAUCCGGCAAAGCCGUGUGGGGGAAGAGGUGCAUGGGGUUGGAAUCCGCAGCCGCUUGAGACGAAGCGUGAGUGACGGUACUGGGUGAAUAAGCACCGGCUAACUACGUG